AUACGGAGGAUCCGAGCGUUAUCCGGAUUUAUUGGGUUUAAAGGGAGCGUAGGUGGGAUAUUAAGUCAGCUGUGAAAGUUUGGGGCUCAACCUUAAAAUUGCAGUUGAUACUGGUUUCCUUGAGUACGGUACAGGUGGGCGGAAUUCGUGGUGUAGCGGUGAGAUGCUUAGAUAUCACGAAGAACUCCGAUCGCGAAGGCAGCUCACCGGGCCGGAACUGACACUGAUGCUCGAAAGUGCGGGUAUCAAACAGGAUUAGAUACCCUGGUAGUCCGCACAGUAAACGAUGAAUACUCGCUGUUUGCGAUACACGGUAAGCGGCCAAGCGAAAGCGUUAAGUAUUCCACCUGGGGAGUACGCCGGCAACGGUGAAACUCAAAUGAAUUGACGGGG
rnacentral:rRNA from 1 species